ensembl:snoRNA
AAUGUGGUUAAUGAUGCACAACUUUUUUCCCCGUCUUAUCGACUCUGGUGAAACCCAGCCUGAAAAGAAAAAAAAGCCAAUUUGUCUGAAACCACAUU